rnacentral:rRNA from 1 species
AGCAUAUCAAUAAGCGGAGGAAAAGAAACCAACAGGGAUUACCUCAGUAACGGCGAGUGAAGCGGUAACAGCUCAAAUUUGAAAUCUGGUCCUCUCAGGGCCCGAGUUGUAAUUUGUAGAAGAUGCUUCGAGCGUGGCACCGGUCUAAGUUCCUUGGAACAGGACGUCAUAGAGGGUGAGAAUCCCGUAUGCGACUGGCCGCCUUCGUUCAUGUGAAGCUCUUUCGACGAGUCGAGUUGUUUGGGAAUGCAGCUCAAAAUGGGUGGUAUAUUUCAUCUAAAGCUAAAUAUUGGCCAGAGACCGAUAGCGCACAAGUAGAGUGAUCGAAAGAUGAAAAGCACUUUGGAAAGAGAGUUAAACAGUACGUGAAAUUGUUGAAAGGGAAGCGCUUGCAACCAGACUUGCACGCUGCCGAUCAUCUGGGGGUUCUCCCCAGUGCACUCGGUAACGUUCAGGCCAGCAUCGGUUUGGGUGGUUGGAUAAAGGCCUUGGGAACGUAGCUCCUCUCGGGGAGUGUUAUAGCCCUCGGUGCAAUGCAGCCUACCCGGACCGAGGACCGCGCUUCGGCUAGGAUGCUGGCGUAAUGGUUGUAAGCGACCCGUCU